rnacentral:rRNA from 1 species
CCUACGGGAGGCUGCAGUGGGGAAUAUUGGGCAAUGGGCGCAAGCCUGACCCAGCAACGCCGCGUGAAGGAAGAAGGCUUUCGGGUUGUAAACUUCUUUUCUCAGGGACGAAGAAAGUGACGGUACCUGAUGAAUAAGCCACGGCUAACUACGUGCCAGCAGCCGCGGUAAUACGUAGGUGGCAAGCGUUAUCCGGAUUUAUUGGGUUUACAGGGUGUGUAGGCGGUAGGGCAAGUCAGAUGUGAAAACUCAGGGCUCAACCCUGAGCCUGCAUUUGAUACUGUGUUUCUUGAGUGCUGGAGAGGCAAUCGGAAUGCCGGGUGUAGCGGUGAAAUGCGUAGAUAUAAGGAGGAACACCAGUGGCGAAGGCGGAUUGCUGGACAGUAACUGACGCUGAGGCGCGAAAGCGUGGGGAGCAAACAGGAUUAGAUACCCGUGUAGUC